UGCUAGUCGGCUGGCAGAAUAAAAGGCUGUUGGGAACUGUGGGGCGUUCCUGGCGUUAGUCUUAGUGACCGAUGGCUUUGAUAGUCUUAUUUGUUUUUGAAACAGGGUCUCGCAGUUAAAGCUGGCCUUUGAACUCGCGGCCAUCCUCUUGCCAGCCUCAGACGCUCCAGCGCUGGGAUUACUGGCGUGCCCCACCGAGCGCGGCGGCAUAAGCAGUUUUGAAGGAACCUAUCUGCAUCUAACGGGCUGCUGGUCUGACAGCCGCACAGAGGUUGCACUCAUUAGGAACUAGGUAAUUCAGAAUAUUGUAGGUGCCGCCCCUGUGGAGAACGGAUGCAAUAACACCACACCUUCUAGUCCAGACCUUUUCCUCUACUGGUCAACGCAUUCCACCUGUUAAAGGUCAUUUGCGAAAGAUCUCAUAUGCCACAAAAUGACGUUUCAAUCAAUGAAGAGCCACUUACAUCACCUAGUGACACUGUAGCCCUCUCUGUUGCUGGAUCGCAUUCUAAGGUCUGAACCCACUAAGAUUAAGAAUCACCACAUCUGCAAAAAAGGAAAUAUCUUCAGAAGAACCUGAACUACUCGCAAAGUGCCAGCUCCAAGGAAUUCUGGGGAACGUAAAUUUCAGUCAUCUAUUUCUCAUGAUUGGGAGGGAAUUUGGAAGAGGAUAGAAAUGGAUGUUGAGUUUCAACAGAUAAUAUAUAGAAUGCACAUAUUCUUUCGGCAGAAAAAAGUUACCCCAGUCUGCCGUUAAGCAUGGGCAUAUUAAAAACGUGUCAAAGAACUGAGAGUCGUGUUCACUGAGAUCAGCGUGAAGACCGACUACAAAGGGAAGCAGCUCUUCAGACGUGUAGCAUGGGCUCGGCCCGGCAUGGAGAAUGUCCAGGAGAAAAGCGAAGAAGGGAUGAUCGACAUCAAAUUGGACAAACCCCAGAAAUCCCCGGCCAGUGAGGGCGCUGCUCCUGCUAACGCAGAGCCUGACCCAUGGCUUCCUACGCACGACUUGCUUCUGUUGCUUCCUAUUAGGGGUGAGAAACAAGUUUACUAAGAUGAGAGGAU